GACGAACGCUGGCGGCGUGCUUAACACAUGCAAGUCGAACGGAAAGGCCCUGCUUGCAGGGUACUCGAGUGGCGAACGGGUGAGUAACACGUGGGUGAUCUGCCCUGCACUUCGGGAUAAGCCUGGGAAACUGGGUCUAAUACCGGAUAGGGGCCAUUUUUAGUGUGAUGGUUGGAAAGUUUUUUUCGGUGUAGGAUGAGCUCGCGGCCUAUCAGCUUGUUGGUGGGGUAAUGGCCUACCAAGGCGGCGACGGGUAGCCGGCCUGAGAGGGUGGACGGCCACAUUGGGACUGAGAUACGGCCCAGACUCCUACGGGAGGCAGCAGUGGGGAAUAUUGCACAAUGGGCGCAAGCCUGAUGCAGCGACGCCGCGUGGGGGAUGACGGCCUUCGGGUUGUAAACUCCUUUCGCUAGGGACGAAGCUUUUUGUGACGGUACCUAGAUAAGAAGCACCGGCUAACUACGUG
rnacentral:rRNA from 1 species